rnacentral:tRNA from 1 species
GGAGGGAUGGCAGAGCGGACGAUUGCACUGGUCUUGAAAACCAGCGGGCCUUCGCGGGUCCCGGGGGUUCGAAUCCCCCUCCCUCCGCCA